CCUACGGGAGGCUGCAGUGGGGAAUAUUGGGCAAUGGACGCAAGUCUGACCCAGCAACGCCGCGUGAAGGAAGAAGGCUUUCUGGUUGUAAACUUCUUUUAAUGGGGAAGAGCAGAAGACGGUACCCCUUGAAUAAGCCACGGCUAACUACUUGCCAGCAGCCGCGGUAAUACGUAGGUGGCAAGCGUUGUCCGGAUUUACUGGGUGUAACGGGCGUGCGGCCGGAGAGAAAAGUCAGAUGUGAAAUCCACGGGCUCAACCCGGGAACUGCAUUUGAAAUUGUUUCCCUUGAGUGUCGGUGAGGAAGGCGAAAUGGAUGGGGUAGCGGUGAAAGGCUUAGAUAUAAUACAGAACAC
rnacentral:rRNA from 1 species